GCUCCACAAUGGUAGCCAAGAAAACAGAAACAGUUACAAAAUUCAAGGGCAUGUGUUCAGGGCCCUUGCAGCCUGCAGGCUGAAACACUCUCUGAGUUGCUCAAUAAGACAAAAGUCCCAAGUAGUAUGUGGAAACCACUGCCAGGUGACUGGCUCAGAGGAGGACAGGGGGUCAGGGCAGCAGGAGGGAUUCCCCCAGUUGGCCAGAACUGUUGUUCUUUCGGGGGCGGUGAACAAGGAUGCAGGGAGCAAGUGCUCACACAACCAGUGGAACAGGCGUAGGGCAUGUGCACAGCAGGGAAACGCUGGGCUGUGGCAGGCCUUCAGCAGCUGGCAGAGCUUUAUCCUGCCAGCCCUGAGGGUCACAGGAGGAUGUUUUAGGCAGAUGACCAUGCUCGGAGCACAGGAAUGACAUUACUGGUUGGUCCUGUCUGCCUGCCUUGGCCCAGCUGUCUAAGAGCAUGCAUGGGACAAGCUAACUAUCCAACCAAACGAGGCGUGGGCCCACGCAGGCCCUUCUCAAGGAGCAGAGGAAUUGUCUAGACAUUUUGCUCUCAAAUACCCAGGCCUCGAAGCUUCCAGUUGGUAGAAGAGGGAAGACAGGAGGGCCUCGGUGAUCCUGUGGAGUCCUUGCUUCGUCCAGGCCAGUGCCCAGCCAGAACGCGGAGGAGCCCACCUGGGAGGGAGCUGAGGCAGAUCGACUCGAGGGCCUCUGCAUCUAAGUUCGGGCAGUGGAGCCACCAGGCCGUGCUGGUGACUGUUCUGGAAGGACCCACUUGUCCUAGUCAGACGCGAGUGUUUUUUUCCUGUAACUCCCAUGCUGCCCGUCAGCUAGUCCCCUGUACUGGCUUCCCGGGACCCGUGUAACAAAAUACCGUAAGUGGGGUGGCUUAAAACCACAGAAAUGUAUUCUUUCACAGUUCUGGGGGCCGGAAGUCCAUAAUCAAGGUGCCAGUUGGGCCGGUUCCUUCUGAGGGCUGUGAAGGAGACUUCGCUCCAGGUCCUGCUCCCCGUGUCUGGGGGCUGCCAGCCAUCCUCGGCGCUCCUUGGCCUGUGGAUGAGUCUCUCCUCUCUCUGCAUCCAUCUUACACACAUUCUUCCCAUUUCUCUGUCUUCAAGUGGCUGUCUUCUUAUAAGAACAUCAGUCUUCUUGGUUUGGGGGCCUACCCCACCCCAAUAUGACCCCAUCUUCACUAAUUUCAUCCACAAUGACCCUAUUUCCAAAUAAGAUCACAUUCAAGGUACUAAAGGUUAGAACUUCAACAUAUCUUUUUUGGGGGGGAAAACAAUUCAACCCGUAGCAUCCCUUAUAUGAAGCUUUCCCAUAGAACACUUUAACUAUUAGUCUUUCAAUCAUCAUUGAACACUUUGGGAAAUAUCCUUAUAACCUGUGUUUUUUUUACUUUUCUAACAUUUUCCUUGUAGAGCAGGUGUUGAGUCACCUGUACCAGGCAAAAUGAACAACAACACAGCAAAUCUACACAACUACCAUGUCCGGAAAAACAGCUAUGCAAAAGCACCAACAUAUUUUUAUUAAAUGAAACUCAAUAAUAUCAUUUUAAAAUGUUGAUCUAUGACAUUUUUUAUGGAUUCUAAUGAAAUCUGGUGAGUUGAAAUUAGAGAGAUAAUGCCUUCUGGGUAAAGGUUUAGAAUGUUUAUGAUCGUGGUAACUUAAGCUUGUAGUUUCACUAAAUCAGUGGAUCGCUGGGUCUUGCUGAGUUGGAAACGGCUCUCAAGCCUGUAACAUGCCAUGAUUUUCAUCUGUAGUUACACAGUCUUUUCCCAAAAACAGCUUUAGUUAUGAAAAAUAUAUAUUUUUUCUUAACUCAGCCAAAAGAGAGGAGGGGAAUUCAAUCUUUAAAUGAUCAUUUCCAUGUGAUUUGGGUAAGAUAUCUCACAUUGGUUCUGCUGAGUAACAUUAGCAAGCCCUCACCGCCCUGGUAGUAAUAAGUCAGUCCCAUAAUUAUUCUGUCUCUGCCUCUCACAGAAAGACUGCAGUUCUUCCAAACUGUGUGUAGAUGGCAUAGAAGCCCUCAUAAGUUUAACAUACAGAUGCCUGCCAGUCUGAAAAAUAACACAAGGAAAGUUCCAGAAAGUUUGGAAUGGUGAUGAAGGAAACUUAAUUUUUAGAGCCAAAAAGCCCACAGUAUGGCCCAUCCUACAUGAAUAUAAAAAUGGCUUUUCCAAGGUAUUACUUGAUUACUUUCUCAUAAGUCUUACCCCUUGUGUAAGGCGUACUAAAAUAAUACCUCUGGAGCACACCUAAGCUUCCAGGAAACAGAUCCAUUUGCUUUGUACAUCAUUAAGAAACACAGUAUCCAACAUGCAUUUAGGAAGUAGUAGUUGGUAUUAUCUCAUUCCCAUAUAGCAUAAAAGUGCUUUUCUUCUCUCCCGUUGGAGGGUUUUGCUAAUUUAUCUCAUUUAGAUGAAUCUAAGUCUCCCUUGAGUUUAUUCUUAGUUGCCAAGUUCUCAUAUUUAUGAAGUACCUGAACAGUAAUGGAGAGGCGGUCUAGGUGGGGUGACAGGAAGGACAGUCAUUUAAACCAGAUGUUUUCUUAAAUUGCUGAACAUCAAAAGCUGACAACUCUGUGCUCUUUUGGGCCCACCGACUGUGUUCCUUUAAAGGCAGCGCCUUCUUUCUAGGAAACAAGGUUUUGUGCAAGCUGUACAAGGGAUCUGACACCGUGUCAGGAGGCCUUGGUGCCAUCUAAGGGAUGGCAGCAGCCCUGCAGUUUGGCACAUUCCUUUGUAGCCUGGGGUUUUCUCUGCUGCGAACAAAUCAGAGGUCCUGUUGGACCUCCUAGUUCGCUUAUUCACCCUCCCAAAAUCCAGUCAUGCGUGUGUGUGUGUGUGUGUGUGUGUGUGUUUUAGCAACUAUCCCAUCAUUGCUCCAUUAAACUUUCAAGGGAUUUACACCUUCUAAGCCCACUUGCCAAAGUGAUCUGACUGCAAGUGGUUCCUUGGCCAUGGAGGGGCAGGAUGUCUCUGGUCAAAUCAGUUCAGGAUCCGGCACAGAGACUUUCCCGGGAGAGUCACACUGCACAUUUGCACACUGCCAGCCAGAGAAGUCCUGUAGCUACAGGCUUUUCUUAAACCACUUAAGUCCUCCACACAGACAUCCUUCAAAUGCAGUGUUGAAACAUUCGUUGAGAAACACUGUCCUAAAUCCUGCUCACUGCAUAUGGCCCAUCCAGGAGUGGGCUUUGUGAACCCAAAUGCAGCACCCCUCAUUUAUUCCUGGAAUGCACUUUCUUGUUCUAUCCAGCCUCAUCCACCCAGCCUGUCAAGGUCUUUUUGGAACUUGAUUCUUAGAACCGUAUUUUUCUGGGACUCACAUCUCUCUUGCAAAGAUUCCCACAAGCACACACACAUCUGCAGGAAAAGGGCAGCCCACAGGUGAAGCCAGUAGCAGGCCUUCAACCCAGUCAGUUGAGCCCUACACACUGCUCCUGGGAGGCCAAGUGUGGGCAAGCUCCUUCCAGAGCAUCAGAUGAGCAUUAUGUGGUUUCCAAGGAGAUGCAUUCAUUUGAAGCUGUUUUUCCAUUGAAUGGCCCCAAAGUAAAAAGUGGUUGCUGGGAAGUUGAAUCAUGACCUAGU